GUGCUCACUUCAGCAGCACAUAUACUGAAAAACUGGAACAAUACAGAGAAGAUUAGCACAGCCCCUAAACAAGAAUGACCUGCAAAUUUGUGAAGCAUUCCAUAUUAAA